CUUUAGGCAGACAGAACUAAUAUUGCCUGUGAAAUAAAACCGACUCAGCAUGGGGGCAUCAAUUUCAAUUGUGUCUAAAAGUUUUGGGAUAUGCAGCAGCAACAGCUCAAGCAACGGGCAAUGAGAUAUAAUACUCUCCAGCAAAUCAGAAGAAAUUGUUACUUCACACAGUUGGAGGCUAAUUAACUUAUCAAAUCCUUCAAAGGCCCCUGGAUGAUGUAUUGAGCAAUUAUCAAGACUUAGAUGCCUCAGUUGCGAACAUGUGAAAACUGACGUAGGCAAUUUGCUAUCCUCGGGAAGG
rnacentral:misc_RNA from 1 species